rnacentral:rRNA from 1 species
AUAGUUGGUGAGGUAACGCCUCUCCCAAGGCGACGACGGGUAGCCGGCCUGAGAGGGUGGUCGCCCACACUGGGAGUGAGACACGGCCCAGACUCUUACGGGAGGCAGCAGUGCGGAAUCUUGCGCAAUGGGCGAAAGCCUGACGCAGCGACGCCGCGUGAGCGAGGAAGGCCUUCGGGUCGUAAAGCUCGGUAGUGUGGGAAGAAGAGAUGACGGUACCACACGAGAGCCCCGGCUAACUACGUGCCAGCAGCCGCGGUAAGACGUAGGGGGCGAACGUUGUCCGGAAUUUCUGGGGGUAAAGGGCGCGUAGGCGGUUUAGCAAGUCAGGUGUAAAAAACCCGGGCUCAACCUGGGGGAUGCACUUGAAACUGCUAAGCUAGAGGGCAGGAGAGGGGAGUGGAAUUCCCGGUGUAGCGGUGAAAUGCGUAGAUAUUGGGAGAGAAUCACCAGUGGCGAAGGCGAGCUCUCUGGACUG